AACUCGACCACGCUCGCUCCCGUGAGGCGGCUCGCUUGCCGGCGAUCUCCGACGGACGGCUCGCUAGGAGGUACGCCGCCCGUUAGAACGCGUGCCGUUGCUACCGGCUUUCUUUCCGCGACGCCGCUAAGCACGCCUGCGUCCAGUCGGCGCGUACUCGCGUACCGCUGGCGGCCUCUUCCCGCGGCGCCGCCCGCGUUGGCGACGCGGUGCCCGAUGCCGGAGUGAAGCCAGCGGUUCACUGCUGUGGCGCCGCCUGCCGGAAGGGCCGGAAAGCGCACCCGGAGCCGACCCGCCGCCGCGCUGCCAGACGCCUGCAGUUCCCGUUCUGGCAGCGGCUCGGUGCAAGCGCAGGCCCAAGGGAGAUGUCAGCUGCGGAGACGUGCCCUUCCUCCACAGGACGGGAAAGCAAGUCGGGGAGAAGAGCUGGAGGCAGCUGAACCUAUAUGAGAAAAUGGAACUGAGAGACCCUGCGAAGGAGGAGAUCCCUGAGAAAAAGCGCAACACCAGCCAGAAGCUCAGCCUCGGAUACCUGCACAUGGCCGUCAGACAGAAGACGGGCAUGAAGACGAGAGCAGGGUCAGACCCUAAAGAACAGCAAGGCCACCUUGGCUAUGGAGCAGACAGUGGACCUGAAAUUGCAACAAGAAACAGGCUGCUCUUCAUUAACAUCCGUCGUUGCCGUCAUCCUCCCUACGGCUUCUCCUGUAAGAAGAUGUGGAAGAAGAGAAACUGAGCACAUAGCUGCCACCAUAUGUGCAAAAACCCCUGCAGAAUAAAAAGUCCUGCUC
ensembl:lncRNA